GAUGAACGCUGGCGGCGUGCCUAAUACAUGCCAGUCGAGCGAACAGAUGAGGAGCUUGCUCCUCUGACGUUAGCGGCGGACGGGUGAGUAACACGUGGAUAACCUACCUAUAAGACUGGGAUAACUUCGGGAAACCGGAGCUAAUACCGGAUAAUAUAUUGAACCGCAUGGUUCAAUAGUGAAAGACGGUUUUGCUGUCACUUAUAGAUGGAUCCGCGCCGCAUUAGCUAGUUGGUAAGGUAACGGCUUACCAAGGCAACGAUGCGUAGCCGACCUGAGAGGGUGAUCGGCCACACUGGAACUGAGACACGGUCCAGACUCCUACGGGAGGCAGCAGUAGGGAAUCUUCCGCAAUGGGCGAAAGCUUGACGGAGCAACGCCGCGUGAGUGAUGAGGGUCUUCGGAUCGUAAAACUCUGUUAUUAGGGAAGAACAAAUGUGUAAGUAACUAUGCACGUCUUGACGGUACCUAAUCAGAAAGCCACGGCUAACUACGUG
rnacentral:rRNA from 1 species